rnacentral:rRNA from 1 species
AUUGAACGCUGGCGGCAUGCCUUACACAUGCAAGUCGAACGGUAACAGGUCUUCGGAUGCUGACGAGUGGCGAACGGGUGAGUAAUACAUCGGAACGUGCCUAGUAGUGGGGGAUAACUACUCGAAAGAGUGGCUAAUACCGCAUGAGAUCUACGGAUGAAAGCAGGGGAUCGCAAGACCUUGUGCUACUAGAGCGGCCAAUGGCAGAUUAGGUAGUUGGUGGGAUAAAAGCUUAACAAGCCGACGAUCUGUAGCUGGUCUGAGAGGACGAUCAGCCACACUGGGACUGAGAAACGGCCCAGACUCCUACGGGAGGCAGCAGUGGGGAAUUUUGGACAAUGGGCGCAAGCCUGAUCCAGCAAUGCCGCGUGCAGGAUGAAGGCCUUCGGGUUGUAAACUGCUUUUGUACGGAACGAAAAGCCCCGGGUUAAUACCCUGGGGUCAUGACGGUACCGUAAGAAUAAGCACCGGCUAACUACGUGCCAGCAGCCGCCGUAA